rnacentral:lncRNA from 1 species
UUUUGGUAUGGUUUUUAAUCCAUUUUCUCUAUCUCAUAAAUUCUUUUAUUUUAUUUAACAUAACUUGUUAAUUAUACAAUUUACUCCUAAAAUAAAUACAUGGAAUACAACAUGAAAUAAAACGUACACUUAAAUCACAUCCACUUAACUCCAUCUAAAUUUGUUUCUCUUGCAAUUAUCCUUAUAAAAGAUGAUUUUACAAUGUAAUUUCAGGUGUUAUUUGAAAUAAAAAAUAAUAAAAAAAUCUCAACAUUAAAAAAAAGUUCUCAACAUUAGUUAUUUAAUAUUAAUCAAGGACAAGCCUAUC